rnacentral:rRNA from 1 species
UAACGCGAAGAACCUUACCUGGGCUUGACAUGUUCCUGACCGGCCUGGAAACAGGUCUUCCCUUCGGGGCAGGAUCACAGGUGGUGCAUGGCUGUCGUCAGCUCGUGUCGUGAGAUGUUGGGUUAAGUCCCGCAACGAGCGCAACCCCCGUCGCAUGUUGCCAGCAUUUAGUUGGGGACUCAUGCGAGACUGCCGGUGACAAACCGGAGGAAGGUGGGGAUGACGUCAAGUCAUCAUGCCCCUUAUGUUCAGGGCUACACACGUGCUACAUUGGCGCGUACAGAGGGCUGCGAUACCGCGAGGUGGAGCGAAUCCCUUAAAGCGCGUCUCGGUUCGGAUUGCAGGCUGAAACUCGCCUGCAUGAAGGUGGAGUUGCUAGUAAUCGUGGAUCAGCACUGCCACGGUGAAUACGUUCCCGGGUCUUGUACACACCGA